UACCACAAGCCACCUGGGAGACACACCAAACAUGUGGAAGAAGGUGCACUGGUCAGAUGAAACCAAAAUGGAACUUUUUGGCAACAAUGCAAAACGUUAUGUUUGGCGUAAAAGCAACACAGCUCAUCACCCUGAACACACCAUCCCCACUGUCAAACAUGGUGGUGGCAGCAUCAUGGUUUGGGCCUGUUUUUCUUCAGCAGGGACAGGGAAGAUGGUUAAAAUUGAUGGGAAGAUGGAUGGAUCCAAAUACAGGACCAUUCUGGAAGAAAACCUGAUGGAGUCUGCAAAAGACCUGAGACAGGGACAGAGAUCUGUCUUCCAACAAGACAAUGAUCCAAAACGUAAAGCAAAAUCUACAAUGGAAUGGUUCAAAAAUAAACAUAUCCAGGUGUUAGAAUGGCCAAGUCAAAGUCCAGACCUGAAUCCAAUCGAGAAUCUGUGGAAAGAACUGAAAACUGCUGUUCAAAAAUGCUCUCCAUCCAACCUCACUGAGCUCGAGCUGUUUUGCAAGGAGGAAUGGGGAAAAAAAUUCAGUCUCUCGAUGUGCAAAACUGAUAGAGACAUACCCUAAGCGACUUACAGCUGUAAUCGCAGCAAAAGGUGGCGCUACAAAGUAUUAACUUAAGGGGGCUGAAUAAUUUUGCACGCCCAAUUUUUCAGUUUUUGAUUUGUUAAAAAAGUUUGAAAUAUCCAAUAAAUGUCGUUCCACUUCAUGAUUGUGUCCCACCUGUUGUUGAUUCUUCACAAAAAAUACAGUUUUAUAUCUUUAUGUUUGAAGCCUGAAAUGUGGCAAAAGGUCGCAAAGUUCAAGGGGGCCGAAUACUUUCGCAAGGCACUGUAUAUGCAUAGUCACUUUAACCAUACCUACAUGUACAUACUACCUCAAUUAGCCCGACUAACCGGUGCCUGUAUAUAGCCUCGCUACUGCUUUAGCCUCGCUACUGUAUAUAGCCUCGCUACUGUUAUUAUUCACUGUCUUUUCACUGUUAUUUUUUAUUUCCUUACUUAUCUAUUGUUCCCCUAAUUCUUAUUUUUUACUUUAAAAUUGCACUGUUGGUUAGGGCCUGUAAGUAAGCAUUUCACUGUAAGGUUGUAUAGUUGUAUUUGGCGCACGUGACAAAUAAACUUUGAUUUGAUUUGACUUUGAUUUUAAAUGGAUCACUCGUCACUUUAAAUAACGCCACUUUAAUAAUGUUUACAUGUCUUACAUUAUCAUAUCACAUGCAUAUACUGUAUUUUAUACCAUCUAUUGAACUUUGCCUAUGCCGCUCGGCCAUCGCUCAUCCAUAUAUUUAUUUGUACAUAUUCUCAUUUACCCCUUUUAAAUAUGUGGGUUUAGGUAGUUGUUGGAGAACUGUUAGAUUACUGCACUGUCGGAACCAGAAGCACAACCAUUUUGCUACACUCGCAUAAUAACUGCUAACCACGUGUAUUUGACAAAUAAAAUUUGAUUUGAGAUUGGGCCUUGUUUUUUUAGGUUAUAUUCCUGCUGGAAUUAUCUCCCAGUGUCUGGUGGACAGCAGACUGAACCAGGUUUUCCUCUAGGAAUUUGCUUGUGCUUAGCUCCGUUCCGUUUCUUUUUUAACUUGAACGAUUACAAGCAUAGCCAUAACAUGAUACAGCCCCCAAUAUAAAAUAUGGAGAACUGUACUCAGUAAUGUGUUGUAUUGGAUUUGUCCCAAACAUAACACUUUAUACUUAUGACAAAAAGUGUAUUGCUUGGCACAUUUUUUGCAGAAUUACUUUCGUGCCUUGUUGCAAACAGGAUGGAUGUUUUGGAAUAUUUGUAUUCUGUACAGGGUUCCUUCUUUUCUCCUCUGUCAGUUAGGUUAGUAUUGUGGAGUACCAAUAGGUGACCUUCUUUGAGAGGCAUUGGAAAACCUCCCUGGUCUUCGUGGUUGAAUUUGUGUUUGAAAUUCACUGCCAGGGGGAUGGCAGGGAGGGCGAGGAGCGGGCCAGUCCGGAAGGCGAAGGUGGAAAACUCGGAUGAUGAUGGGAUCUAGAAUGUCAUCCACCGGAACCCAACAAUGCUCCUUUGGACCAUAUCCCUCCCAGUCCACCAGGUACUGGAGCCAACCCACACGACGUUGGGAGUCCAGGAGGGAUCUGACAGCAUAGGCAGGGCUUCCGUCGAUGUGGAGGUGUGUCGUGGGGGACAGCCUCAACCAGGGGACCAGGAACCACCGGCCUGAGGAGGGAAACAUGAAAAGAGGGUGAGAUCCGGUAGUUAGUGGGGAGCUGUAAUCUAUAUGUCACCUCAUUGACCUUGAAUGGCCCCACAAAUCGGGGACUCAGCUUAUUACAGGGAAGGCGGAGUGGGAGGUUCCUGGUGGAGAGUAUUCGUUCCAGACCUCUUUUGCAUGCCUGAACCACUUGUCCACCGUAGGAGCUUCGGUCUGGAUCUGGAUCCACGGAGCCAGGGCUGGCUGAUAACCCAGAAUACACUGGAAGGGAAUCAGCCCGGUGGAGGAGUGACGUAAUGAAUUCUGGUCGUACUCCGCCCAGGGAAGGAAUCGGCCCACUACACCUGCCGGUCCUGGAUGUGACUCCUCAGGAACCUCCCCAGCUCCUGGUUCAUCUCCACCUGCCCCUUAGACUGAGGCCGGUACCCCGGAAGUGAGGCUGACCGUGAGCACCAGCUUCUCCAUGAAAGCCCUCCACAACCAUGACAUGAAUUGGGGGCCAUGGUCGGAGACAAUGCCCUCUGGAAGGCCAUAGUGUCGGAAGACCUGCUGGAACAGUGCCUCUGUGACCUGGAGGGCGGUAGGGAGAUCAGAGAGAGGGAAAAAACUGCAGGAUUUAGAAAAUCUGUCCACAACAACCAUAAUAGUGAUGAAAACAACAGAUGGAGGAAGAUCCGUGACAAAAUCUAUGGACAGAUGGGACCAAGGCCUCUGAGGCAUGGGAAGGGGGCGGGGUUUCCCUGUUGUAGUGUGCCAGGGAGAUAUUGUUUGGGCACAGACGGAGCAUGAAUUCAAAUAACGGGCGACGUCCUGUGCCAAAUUGGGAAACCAGUACUUAGCGGAGAUGGAUUGACUAGUGCGGGUGAUACCUUGGUGUCCAGCGGCUAGGGAUGUGUGUGACCAGGUCAACAGCCGAUCCCCCUCCAUGGGGACGUAGAUGCGUUCAGGAGGACAGGUUGCAGACACACCCCCCUAAACAUUGUUGGUUAAGGGCUUGUAAGUAAGCAUUUCACAGUAAGGUGAAACCUGUUGGCGCAUGUGAGUAAUAAUCAUAGAUUUUGAUUUGAUUUAUGGUGGUUAGUAGUCAGAGUAAAAUCAAUGAAGAGUUAACAGGUUUUUCACAUUUAGCCAGGGAGGGUUUUGAGAUCAGUUGUGUGAGAUUAAAAUCAAUGCAAAUACUCCUAAAUUGAUCUGAAUCCUGGGAUAAACAAUACAGAUUCAAAUCCCCUAAAAUUAUCAACUCCGAGGACAGUGUGUUAAACACCGAUAUAGCACCAAAACCAUCUGCCAUGGCAGCAGGGGUGACGUAGAUCCCAACAAGAAAAACAUGUGUAUUCUGGUUUAUGGACACAUCUACAACCAGGGGCUCAAAUUUCUUGGAAACAUAAAUAUUUAAAGAUUGGGAUUCCCAUGAAAUUUGAUUUUACAUGAAUGGCCACUCCUCCCCCUUUCUAUAAUAAUUGACAAAUUUAAAUACAUUGUAAUAAUUUACUUCAAGCCUUUAUCAGAGACAGAAACAUUUGACCAUGUUUCUGAGAGAACCUGAAUCUCAGGACAUGAGUCCUGUAUCCAAAUGUCGAUUUGCUGAUUUUUGAAAUCACACUUUGCAUAUUAAAGGUGCAUUAUCCCAAGCACCCUACGAGAUUUAAAGUAUUAGGAUCAUUCAAACAAGAGCUAACAGGCAGCUAUUUGUUGAUGGGGGUGGUUUGAUAAUGCUGUGGGGUUGUUUUGCUGCCUCUGGUACUGGGGGGCCUUGAACAUGUGCAAGAUUGACAAUCCAAUUACAAUAUGUCCCCAAAUUUUUUUUAGUAUCAAUUUAUUUUAGAAGAAAUAUGGAAUUAUUUAAGAAAGGGGCAAGGGUGCCAAAUUAGCACUGUCAACAUAUUUGGCCCACCAAUGUACAGUGCAUUCGGAAAGUAUUCAGACCCCUUAACUUUUUCCACAUUUAGUUACAUUACAGCCUUAUUCUAAUAUGGAUUAAAUCAUUUUUCCCCCUCAUCAAUCUACACACAAUACCCCAUAAUUGUUACAUCUGCUCCUGCCACACCCUCUACUGCUCAUCCUGUGUCUCCUGCCACCACUCCCCCAGUGCUCUUUCUCUCUCUUUGUGUGUGUGUGUGUGUGUGUGUGUGUUUGUGUGUGUGUGUGAUUGUGUGGGCGGAGACAGGUGUGCUGGAGUCAGAGCAAAUCCCCAAUAGCUGCAACCUGUUCCAUAAUGAAGACCUCUACAAAUACUCAGCCCUGCCACUUCCACGCUGCCAGAUUGUAAUCUCUGCUCAUUCUGCCCACUCUGACUCUGGUCCCUGUCUCCAGUCCCACACUCAUCAGUCCUGCUACUCUGUCCUGGAUCCCCCACUCUACUGCUCCCUUGGAUUCUCCUCUGGACCUGCCUACCCUGUCCCAACACCUCUCGCUCCAGCCUCAGCCUCCGCACCUGGUUUCCUGCAACCCACCCAAGCUUCCCCUGACCUGCACCCCAUCUUCCCCAUGUGUUUCAAUAAAUACCUUGGUUACUUCAUCCCAGUCUCCUCAUCUGAGACUGCUCUCGUGUUCACCUGUUCCGAUCUCUGCGUAACAGUACGAUCUGGCCAAAGAGAUGAACCCAGCAGACUCAGAUCCUCUUCACCAAACCUUCGCCAGCCAAGGCGCCCUGCUCGAACAACAUCACCAAGCCCUGAAAAUCCUUCUGGAGCACAUCGCGGAGCCUUUUGGACCUGCAGGGUCGAACCUUCGCCCAGAGCUCGCAACCAGGCCCUAGUUCUUCUCAUCUGCUCUGUGAGCUGUUUGUUCCAGCCCCCGAGCGUUACAAUGGCAACCUCUGAGCUUGCAGAGCCUUUUUGGUAUAAUGUUCACUGGUAUACGAGCAACAGCCCUACGCUGAUGCUAGCGAGCGGGCCAAGAUUUUCUUUCUGAUUGACAGCGUCUGUGGAACAGUGCUUUCUUGGGCCAAGGCUGUGUGGGAGAAAUAGUCCCCCUUCCGCUCCUCCUACUCCAGCUUCACGGAGGAGAUGAGGAGAGUCUUCGACCACCCUGUCUGAGAAACCACAAACAGUAUUUACCAAUAUCAUAACUGGAGCUGGACAUCUUUUGAGCUGAAGAUUGAGGCCAGCUUUUGUAUGCUAGUGAACACACAGGCCAAUAUGUAAUAGUCGUCUAUUUUAUUGCAGUAUUGGUGGUGGUUGGUUCAACAACCUUUUUUACUAGAGGAAAAAAAACUGCAGUGACUGAACAACUGCAUUUCCACCCCCCACCUCUAAAGGCAUAGUAUCAUGGCAGGUCACCUGUCAGGUCAGUCAGUCACUAAUUGCUGCAGAUGUGCUCAAUAGUGCUUGAGCAUAUAAUACUCCCCAAAGCAUGGUGAAAUACAUAGAGGUGUAUCACAUGCUAAACAUGUAUUUCGUCAACUUCCUCUGCUUAAUUCUCCUGGUGCCAGACAGGCAGACUUUGCAGUGCCUCCGUGUGCGACUACCUUGAGCAGCAGUUUGAGGGACUUGCAGGGAAAAUGCUGUGCAGGGGAUUGUCUGAAGCAGGACGACCCCCAGUGGAUGGGCGCCGAGGGGUGUGGUGCUCCUCCAGCAGCUCUCUCAAGGUUCUCUCUGUACUUUUGGUAGGUAAUUGCUUUACCUUUCAGGGAAGGGAGAUGAUGAUGAGGCAGUGGGUACGUGGGUGAGAUAUUGUCACUAAUUGCAUAAUGGAACUGUACGUCCAAUUACAAAAAAUACCUUGUUCAGUGAUCAUCUCACCCGUUAGUUGGCGGUGAACUAUGUGGCCGUUGAGGGCAGCAGUGUCGAUCAGAUGGAAAAAAUAUCUCCUUAUACCACUUGGUAGUUUUCUGAGUGCAUUCCACAAAGCUGUUUAUCAUGUCCGCCGUAUCCACUGCCCACAUUUUGAGGUUAUAAUCGAGCACACAGUCUGGUUUGAUUUUUCUCUCUCCCGUCAGGUGGUCCACCUUCCCUGUGGCCGACAUGGUUGCUGUAUGGACGUCUCGUUUGUCAUGCCCCUUUACUGCCAGCUGUUGACCAUUCUCCUUGAACUCCACCUUCCCUCUCUGCAUCUGAAUGCCGGCAUCCCCUUCCGGUUCGACCUGACUGUGCCACAGGCCCCUGUGCUGUUGGAGAGCAGAUGCUGGAAGAGUGUGGGACUGCUGUACCAAUUGUCCAUAUACAAAGUGUGUCCCUUGCCAAGAUGAGGAGCCAGCAUGGUCAUCACCAUGGACCGGACACCUCAAGCCCCUUAUAAUGUUGGAUAUCAGUGGUGGACUGUGUAAACUAUAAUGUCCUGGACAAAUCCUGUCUUCACGUCGCACAUGACAAAGAACUUGACCCCAAACCUGUGCCUUUUGGUGGGAAUAUAUUGAUGUAAUGCCAGCCUACCUUUCCAUAACAUCAGGGACUCAUCAAUGCAUAGGUCCUUGUAUGGCACAAAGACCCGACCAAAUGCUGAUGUCAGGCUGGUAAGAUAUUUCUUAUUUUGUAUAACGGGUCAUUUAGGAUGGCAGUAACAUUGUUGUCGAAAUGCAGGCAUCGCAGCAGAACUAGAAAGCGGUCUUGGGAAAAGAGGCAAAGAAGAGAGUUGCAAACAUAGAAUACUGGAGCACAAAUCCUCUUAGGGAUUUCUUCUUUUACUAUCCCCAUGAGAAGGACUGUCACCAGGAAGGUAUAAAUUUAACUAACUGUGCAUGUCACCCAUUCAGCGAGUUUCCCCCCCACUCCUGGCUCUCUCUUCUCCUGUACCUCCAAGGCAUAGCGAUUGGUCUCCUCUACUAUGUCUCAUACCAGCUCCUCUGUCAGAAACAACUUGAAGCACUCUGCCUCAGAUGGAAAUGGCAAGGGACGUUGCACUCCAGACUGAGACUCAUCAAAGCAAACAGCAGGGCCGGGAGGGGUGAAAUGGCUGGCGGCCUUCCAGAGAACUCCUGUACCACAGAACUCCUGUACUUCAUCCACUGUCCGUCUGCCUCCAUCACCACCAGCAUCUUCAAAGGGACCUGGGACUUCGUCAGUGGACUAGGGAUCCUCAGAUUCAGGGUUCUCAAUGGCUACAAGGUUGGGGGGCAGCUCCUCACUGUCAGAAUCUGAUUCCUGACUUUCAGACUCGUUGUCAGAAUAUUUCAAAAUCUCCAGAAUUUCCUUAUUUGUGAGUUUUCGCCAUAUGGUUUCUUGAUAGGAGUCAGCUGAAACGUUUGAUAGGACAAUUUAAGGUAAGAGAGAAUAGCUAGUGUUGCCAUUGUUUUUCAGAAAAUAAUGUUAUAUUAAUGAUAUAAUUGUUAUCUUUGGUGUUGAGAAACCCAUAGAUGUGUAACAAAAACUGGACUCACAGGGAAAUUCACCCAAUGGUCAUUCCCCACCCAGAAAACACUCCCUGCAUUAGCUAGCUAAGUAAGAUUAAGUGAAAAGAAUGUAACAAAAUAAAGCUAGCUCUCUCCCGCUC